ACUCAGCCACAAACCAUGGUUCCACCUCUCUAUCAAUGUGUUAUUGCCAUGUUGAAGAGAGGAGAAGCCACGAAGCCUUGUUCAACACCUCAGUCCUUUUUCUCUUCAGUACAUGUAUAGGUGAGUAAUAUCAUUUGUUCAUCAUCACAUAUACCCGAACGAAGAAGAGGAAGGGAGGAUCAGUGACGGGAAUAGAAAAGAGAGCAAGGAGGAGGACGAUCGAAGCUAAGGCAAGAGUUGCAACUUACCCACCCAGCUAAUCCGUCAAGUUUUCUGCUAGCUUGUUCGAAUUCUGAAUAGCCACCACCACAAGCAAAGAAGGAUGGAGACAGACUUGGCAGCUAAUGACCUAAGUUCAGAGGUUCCCGAAGGAGUUACUGAGGAAUCUUCAGAGGAUCACUUUUGACUUGAUGAUAGGCACCUUUUAUCUAAAUCUAUACGACCUUGUUCUUUAGAAAUACAUUUUCCUCUCUUUUGAUAAUGUUUUGAGGGAUAGAUUCUUUUAGUAAGUCGAUUUGAUUCUAGUUUAGGGACCCGUGUGAAGGUUAGGACUGUUUUCAUAUCUUGUUAUGUAUAUAUUAGAUGUAAAUACUCUCGACUUAUGUAUUUGACU